GACGAACGCUGGCGGCGUGCUUAACACAUGCAAGUCGAACGGUGAAGCGCCUUCCUUUUUGGUGGGUGUGGAUGAGUGGCGAACGGGUGAGUAACACGUGAGUAACCUGCCCCCUUCUUCUGGAUAACCGCAUGAAAGUGUGGCUAAUACGGGAUAUUCUGGGUCUGUCGCAUGAUGGGUCUGGGAAAGAUAUUGUUUCGGUGGGGGAUGGGCUCGCGGCCUAUCAGCUUGUUGGUGGGGUGAUGGCCUACCAAGGCGGUGACGGGUAGCCGGCCUGAGAGGGUGGACGGUCACACUGGGGCUGAGACACGGCCCAGACUCCUACGCGAGGCAGCAGUGGGGAAUAUUGCACAAUGGGCGCAAGCCUGAUGCAGCGACGCCGCGUGAGGGAUGGAGGCCUGCGGGUUGUGAACCUCUUUCGCCAGUGAAGCAGGCCUGCCUCGUUUGUGGGUGGGUUGACGGUAGCUGGAUAAGAAGCGCCGGCUAACUACGUG
rnacentral:rRNA from 1 species